rnacentral:rRNA from 1 species
CCUACGGGGGGCAGCAGUGAGGAAUAUUGGUCAAUGGGCGCGAGCCUGAACCAGCCAAGUAGCGUGAAGGAUGACUGCCCUACGGGUUUUAAACUUCUUUUUUAAUGGCAUAAAGUGAGGCACGUUUGCCUUUUUGUAUUUACUUUAUGAAUAACGAUCGGCUAACUCCGUGCCAGCAGCCGCGGUAAUACGGGGGAUCCGAGCUUUUUCCGGAUUUAUUGGGUUUAAAGGGAGCGUAGAUGGGUUGUUAUGUCAGUUGUGAAAGUUUGCGGUUAAACCGUAAAAUUGCAAUUGAUACUGGCAGUCUUGAGUACAGUUGAGGUAGGAGGAAUUCGUGGUGUAGCGGUGAAAUGCUUAGAUAUCACGAAGAACUCCGAUUGCGAAGGCAGCUUACUAAACUGCCACUGACAUUGAUGCUCGAAAGUGUGGGUAUCAAACAGGAUUAGAUACCCCGGUAGUC